UACGAAGGGGGCUAGCGUUGCUCGGAAUUACUGGGCGUAAAGCGCACGUAGGCGGCUUUCUAAGUCGGGGGUGAAAUCCUGGAGCUCAACUCCAGAACUGCCUUCGAUACUGGAGAGCUCGAGUCCGGGAGAGGUGAGUGGAACUGCGAGUGUAGAGGUGAAAUUCGUAGAUAUUCGGAAGAACACCAGUGGCGAAGGCGACUUGCUGGACACAUAUUGACGCUGAGGUGCGAAAGCGUGGGGAGCAAACAGG
rnacentral:rRNA from 1 species